GUAGUUCGGAUUACUGGGCUUAAAGAGUUCGUAGGUGGUUGAAAAAGUUGGUGGUGAAAUCCCAGAGCUUAACUCUGGAACUGCCAUCAAAACUUUUCAGCUAGAGUAUGAUAGAGGAAAGCAGAAUUUCUAGUGUAGAGGUGAAAUUCGUAGAUAUUAGAAAGAAUACCAAUUGCGAAGGCAGCUUUCUGGAUCAUUACUGACACUGAGGAACGAAAGCAUGGGUAGCGAAGAGGAUUAGAUACCCUCGUAGUCCAUGCCGUAAACGAUGUGUGUUAGACGUUGGAAAUUUAUUUUCAGUGUCGCAGCGAAAGCGAUAAACACACCGCCUGGGGAGUACGACCGCAAGGUUAAAACUCAAAUGAAUUGACGGGGACCCGCACAAGUAGUGGAGCAUGUGGUUUAAUUCGAAGAUACGCGCAGAACCUUACCAACACUUGACAUGUUCGUCGCGACUUUAAGAGAUUAAAGUUUUCGGUUCGGCCGGACGAAACACAGGUGCUGCAUGGCUGUCGUCAGCUCGUGUCGUGAGAUGUUGGGUUAAGUCCCGCAACGAGCGCAACCCUCACUUUUAGUUGCCAUCAUUAAGUUGGGCACUCUGAAAGAACUGCCAGUGAUAAGCUGGAGGAAGGUGGGGAUGACGUCAAGUCCUCAUGGCCCUUACGUGUUGGGCUACACACGUGCUACAAUGGUAUCUACAACAGGAAGCAAAACUGCGAAGUUAAGCAAAUCCUUAAAAGAUACCUCAGUUCGGAUUGCACUCUGCAACUCGAGUGCAUGAAGCUGGAAUUACUAGUAAUCGUGGAUCAGCGUGCCACGGUGAAUGCGUUCCCGGGUCUUGUACACACCGCCCGUCACACCAUGGGAGUUGGUUCUACCUUAAGGCAAGGUUU
rnacentral:rRNA from 1 species